rnacentral:rRNA from 1 species
AGCGCGAACCCGCAAGGGGGGAGAGCGGCAAACGGGGUAGUAACGGGUAGGUGACGUACCCUCGGGUUGGGGAUAGCCACGGGAAACUGUGGGUAAUACCCAAUAAUCUCCUGGAGCUUGAAGGCUUCGGGAGCAAAGGUGUGAUUCCACCGGAGGAGCGGCCUGCUUCGUAUUAGCUAGUUGGUGAGGUAACGGCUCACCAAGGCAUCGAUGCGUAGGGGGUGUGAGAGCAUGACCCCCACCACUGGGACUGAGAUACUGCCCAGACACCUACGGGCGGCUGCAGUCGAGAAUCUUCGGCAAUGGGCGCAAGCCUGACCGAGCGACGCCGCGUGUGGGAUGAAGGCCCUUGGGUUGUAAACCACUGUCAGAGGGGAUGAAGUGCCAGAGAGUAAUCUCUUUGGUUUGACAUAGCCUCAGAGGAAGCACGGGCUAAGUUCGUGCCAGCAGCCGCGGUAAUACGAACUGUGCAAACGUUAUUCGGAAUCACUGGGCUUACAGGGUGCGUAGGCGGCUUGCUAAGUAGGGUGUGAAAGCCCCCGGCUCAACCGGGGAAUGGCGCCUUAAACUGGCGAGCUGGAGUGAGAUAGGGGUGUGCGGAACUUCCGGUGGAGCGGUGAAAUGUGUUGAUAUCGGAAGGAACGCCGGUGGCGAAAGCGGCACACUGGAUCUCAACUGACGCUGAGGCACGAAAGCCAGGGGAGCGAACGGGAUUAGAUACCCCGGUAGUCCUGGCUGUAAACGAUGAGCACU